rnacentral:rRNA from 1 species
AUUGAACGCUGGCGGCAGGCCUAACACAUGCAAGUCGAACGAGUGGCGGACGGGUGAGUAAUGUCUGGGAAACUGCCUGAUGGAGGGGGAUAACUACUGGAAACUGUAGCUAAUACCGCAUACCAUCGGAUGUGCCCAGAUGGGAUUAGCUAGUAGGUGGGGUAAUGGCUCACCUAGGCGACGAUCCCUAGCUGGUCUGAGAGGAUGACAAGCAAAACUGGGACGGAGACACGGUCCAGACUCCUACGGGAGGCAGCAGUGGGGAAUAUUGCACAAUGGGCGCAAGCCUGAUGCAGCCAUGCGGCGUGUAUGAAGAAGGCCUUAGGGUUGUAAAGCACUUUCAGUGAGGAGGCGUUACUGACAGAAGAAGCACCGGCUAACUCCGUGCCAGCAGCCGCGGUAAUUC